rnacentral:rRNA from 1 species
UAGGGAAUCUUCGGCAAUGGACGAAAGUCUGACCGAGCAACGCCGAGUGAGUGAAGAAGGUUUUCGGAUCGUAAAACUCUGUUGUUAGAGAAGAACAAGGACGUUAGUAACUGAACGUCCCCUGACGGUAUCUAACCAGAAAGCCACGGCUAACUACGUGCCAGCAGCCGCGGUAAUACGUAGGUGGCAAGCGUUGUCCGGAUUUAUUGGGCGUAAAGCGAGCGCAGGCGGUUUCUUAAGUCUGAUGUGAAAGCCCCCGGCUCAACCGGGGAGGGUCAUUGGAAACUGGGAGACUUGAGUGCAGAAGAGGAGAGUGGAAUUACAUGUGUAGCGGUGAAAUGCGUAGAUAUAUGGAGGAACACCAGUGGCGAAGGCGGCUCUCUGGUCUGUAACUGACGCUGAGGCUCGAAAGCGUGGGGAGCAAACAGG